GGCGCCCAGGCCGCGGGCGGGGGGAGGAGGGCCGCAGCCCGGGAGAGGGGAAAAGGCGGGCCGCACGGCGCCAGCAGCCAGCCCCGAGGACGCGAGCGGCAGGAGCACUGAUGGGAAUGGCACUGACUUCCAGUUUCUGAGGCGCAGCCCAGCAAACCCGUCAAGGUGUGCACAGAGGUUCUCCACCUUUUUUUCUGAACUCGCAGUCAGGUGAGUGAUGCUAUUUCUACGAGAUAAUGUU
rnacentral:lncRNA from 1 species